rfam:Dipodomys ordii contig_71733, whole genome shotgun sequence.
UGGCUCAGUGGUAGAGCACUUGCCUUGCAUGCCUGAGGCCCUGGGUUCGAUUCCCCAG